UGAGGAAUAUUGGUCAAUGGACGGAAGUCUGAACCAGCCAUGCCGCGUGCAGGAAGACGGCUCUAUGAGUUGUAAACUGCUUUUGUACGAGGGUAAACUCGGGUACGCGUACCCGACUGAAAGUAUCGUACGAAUAAGGAUCGGCUAACUCCGUGCCAGCAGCCGCGGUAAUACGGAGGAUCCGAGCGUUAUCCGGAUUUAUUGGGUUUAAAGGGUGCGUAGGCGGUUGGAUAAGUUAGAGGUGAAAUCCCGGGGCUCAACUUCGGAAUUGCCUCUGAUACUGUUCGGCUAGAGAGUAGUUGCGGUAGGCGGAAUGUAUGGUGUAGCGGUGAAAUGCUUAGAGAUCAUACAGAACACCGAUUGCGAAGGCAGCUUACCAAGCUACAUCUGACGUUGAGGCACGAAAGCGUGGGGAGCAAACAGG
rnacentral:rRNA from 1 species